CGUAGGAGACGAGCGUUAUCCGGAUUUACUGGGCGUAAAGCGUGUGCAGGCGGUUCGGCAAGUUGGAUGUGAAAUCUCCCGGCUCAACUGGGAGGGGUCGUUCAAUACUACCGAACUUGAGGUCAUCAGAGGAAGGUGGAAUUCCGGGUGUAGUGGUGAAAUGCGUAGAUAUCCGGAGGAACACCAGUGGCGAAGGCGGCCUUCUGGGAUGAUCCUGACGCUCAGACACGAAAGCUAGGGGAGCGAACGGGAUUAGAGACCCCGGUAGUCCUAGCUGUAAACGAUGUAGACUUGGCGUCGGAGGGUUCAAAAACCUUCGGUGUCGUAGCUAACGCGAUAAGUCUACCGCCUGGGGACUACGGCCGCAAGGUUA
rnacentral:rRNA from 1 species